CCUUCUCAAAUAAUUAUUAUUUGGUUGUGAGUGAUACUCUACUGAGUUAACUUGAAAUUGUCGGCCGUUUUGUGUCUUUUGCAGGAUGCUUUUUUCUCGAAUGAGAAGGAAAUCAUUUUUGUCGUAUUAGGUUUUACCAACUUCGGCAGCAGUAGUUUCUCUCUCGCUAAGUUCUGGACUGAAGUCUUGCAGCGCAUUGGCAAACAAUACUCUUUAAGU
rnacentral:rRNA from 1 species